GAUGAAGAACGUAGCAAAAUGCGAUAAGUAAUGUGAAUUGCAGAAUUCAGUGAAUCAUCGAAUUUUUGAACGCACAUUGCGCCCGCCAGUAUUCUGGCGGGCAUGCCUGUUCGAGCGUCAUUUCAACCCUCAAGCACAGCUUGGUGUUGGGACUCGCGUUAAUUCGCGUUCCCCAAAUUGAUUGGCGGUCACGUCGAGCUUCCAUAGCGUAGUAGUAAAACCCUCGUUACUGGUAAUCGUCGCGGCCACGCCGUUAAACCCCAACUUCUGAAUGUUGACCUCGGAUCAGGUAGGAAUACCCGCUGAACUUAAGCAUAUCAAUAAGCGGAGGA
rnacentral:misc_RNA from 1 species